AUUGAACGCUGGCGGCAUGCCUUACACAUGCAAGUCGAACGGUAGAGGGGCAACCCUCGAGAGUGGCGAACGGGUGAGUAAUGCAUCGGAACGUGCCCAGUCGUGGGGGAUAACGUAGCGAAAGCUACGCUAAUACCGCAUACGACCUGAGGGUGAAAGCGGGGGACCUGCAAGGGCCUCGCGCGAUCGGAGCGGCCGAUGUCAGAUUAGGUAGUUGGUGGGGUAAAGGCCUACCAAGCCGACGAUCUGUAGCUGGUCUGAGAGGACGACCAGCCACACUGGGACUGAGACACGGCCCAGACUCCUACGGGAGGCAGCAGUGGGGAAUUUUGGACAAUGGGCGCAAGCCUGAUCCAGCCAUGCCGCGUGCGGGAAGAAGGCCUUCGGGUUGUAAACCGCUUUUGUCAGGGAAGAAAGGGCUUAGGUUAAUAGCCUAGGUUGAUGACGGUACCUGCAGAAUAAGCACCGGCUAACUACGUGCCAGCCGCCGCAGUAA
rnacentral:rRNA from 1 species